UCUAUUUUGUCAGAUAAUAUGUACUAGAUUUAGGAUCUAGUUAAAUAGAGUGAAUUCUAUAAAUAGAAAAACAAUUGGAGCUAAUUGUUUU
rnacentral:tRNA from 1 species